UACGUAGGGUGCAAGCGUUGUUCGAAAUCACUGGGCGUAAAGCGCGUGUAGGCGGUUUGUUAAGUCUAAUGUGAAAGCCCGGAGCUUAACUCCGGAAGUGCAUCGGAUACUGACAAACUAGAGGACAGAAGAGGGAAGUGGAAUUCCUGGUGUAGGGGUGAAAUCCGUAGAUAUCAGGAGGAACAUCAGUGGCGAAGGCGGCUUCCUGGUCUGUUUCUGACGCUCAGACGCGAAAGCAUGGGGAGCAAACAGG
rnacentral:rRNA from 1 species